UGGGGAAUAUUGCACAAUGGGGGAAACCCUGAUGCAGCAACGCCGCGUGAGUGAAGAAGUAUUUCGGUAUGUAAAGCUCUAUCAGCAGGGAAGAAAAUGACGGUACCUGACUAAGAAGCCCCGGCUAACUACGUGCCAGCAGCCGCGGUAAUACGUAGGGGGCAAGCGUUAUCCGGAUUUACUGGGUGUAAAGGGAGCGUAGACGGCGCUGCAAGUCUGAAGUGAAAGCCCGGGGCUCAACCCCGGGACUGCUUUGGAAACUGUAAUGCUAGAGUGCUAGAGAGGUAAGUGGAAUUCCUAGUGUAGCGGUGAAAUGCGUAGAUAUUAGGAGGAAUACCAGUGGCGAAGGCGGCUUACUGGACAGUAACUGAUGUUGAGGCUCGAAAGCGUGGGGAGCAAACAGGAUUAGAUACCC
rnacentral:rRNA from 1 species